rnacentral:tRNA from 1 species
UCCGGAGUCGUCUAAUGGUAGGACAAUAGCCUUUGGAGCUAUUUAUCUUCGUUCGAAUCGAAGCUCCGGAGCCA